ACGAACGCUGGCGGCGUACUUAACACAUGCACGUCGAACGGAAAGGCCCUGCUUUUGUGGGGUGCUCGAGUGGCGAACGGGUGAGUAACACGUGAGUAACCUGCCCUUGACUUUGGGAUAACUUCAGGAAACUGGGGCUAAUACCGGAUAGGAGCUCCUGCUGCAUGGUGGGGGUUGGAAAGUUUCGGCGGUUGGGGAUGGACUCGCGGCUUAUCAGCUUGUUGGUGGGGUAGUGGCUUACCAAGGCUUUGACGGGUAGCCGGCCUGAGAGGGUGACCGGCCACAUUGGGACUGAGAUACGGCCCAGACUCCUACGGGAGGCAGCAGUGGGGAAUAUUGCACAAUGGGCGGAAGCCUGAUGCAGCAACGCCGCGUGCGGGAUGACGGCCUUCGGGUUGUAAACCGCUUUCGCCUGUGACGAAGCGUGAGUGACGGUAAUGGGUAAAGAAGCACCGGCUAACUACGUG
rnacentral:rRNA from 1 species